AAAGAAUACAACUUUUAUCUUGAUGUCAGUGGGUGAGCCACCGGAGAUUUGGGGCCGUGCUUCUCUGACUGGCGGAAACAUCCAUUUGCGUGUGAAACAAGCCCUUGCCGAUCAACUGAGGGGAGACAGAACUGAGUUACAACUCCGGCAGCUUCUAUUUAAGGCCUUGUGACUCACCCCGUGGCAGUGCAGAGAUUGCUAAGGCCUGUGCCCUCCCGUAAACACCUGCCACUUCCCCGCUCUGCAGAAACGCUGGGGCGGAUGAGGUCACGCGCGUGGAAUGUACGGGAGCUUCUCGGAGAAAGGAACCAGAUACAUUUGGGACGAUACUACCGUCACCCCAGCCGUCUGGGAUUCCGCUUUCUAGCAAACCCAAGGGCCCAGAAGCCAGAAGCUACAAAAUAAGGAAAAAUAAAGGAAGGUGCCCGGCCGCAGAGAAAGCAGGAAGUAGACCAGGAAAUGGCUGUAAGGUCAGAGAUAACACGAAGCAGGAUACGCCCGGUCGUGAGGGAAGCUUCGUGGCCCCUGGAGGGAAUGACGGCAGCGGCCGGCCGCCCCACUGUGCACAGACCUCCCAGAAGUGAGUGAUGCGGGGGUGGGGGGGUGGGGGGGGGNGGGGGGGGGGGGGGGGGGGGGGGGGGGGGGGGAUGAGCAGGAUAUAAAGGGAAGACAGCAGACGGGCAGGAAGUGGCAGAGACCAGAGGGUCCCGGAGGGCAGCAAGAGAUGGGGGAAGCAGCUGGGCUCCCCCCGAGGGGCGUGGAAGGUGGGGAGGAGGGUUUGCACCAGUUUGGGGGCGGCGGCCAGCCUCUCCCAGGCUCGGCAGCCCCACCGUUUUGCCGACUGUCCCCCGGAUCAGGGGGCGGGGCUUCCUCUUGGACAGCGUGGAUGCAGCCGUGGAAGGAACAAAACAGAGGUUCUAGGGGAGCCGGUGGUGUGGCUGCGCGGGCGUAGCCCAGUGUGCAGGCCCGAGGGGCCCAGGGGACAGGUUGGGAGCAGUGAGAGGAGGCCNAGGCCGCGUGAGAGUAAAGAACGAGCGAGUGCCUGCCAUCACAUCAUGGUCCCAGCCAGCUGCUGGAGGCACAGCGCCCUUCCCCGGGUCCUCCGGAAGCCGGCUGCCCUUCUUUACAGCACACCCCCCACCCCCCACCGGUGCUCACCGCCUCCCUCCAGCUCACGCUGCACUGCCCACACUUGGCUGCGUGUUGAAGUCAUCUGGGGGCUCCUGCCUCACCCCCUCCAGCUGUGUCGGGACCCCCGGGCGAGCGCCCUGGGCAGGGCUGCACCCCCUCCCCCUCCCCGGGAUCUGCUCUGAUACCCCUUGCCCUUUCCUGGCCGGUGGCCCGGCCGGUCCUGGCGGUGGGCCUGCCUCCCCUACCCGAGCCGAGGCUCCCCUGCAGCCCCUCCCGCCCCCCGGCUGUUAAAGGAGAAUAUACCUCCCGCUCCUAGAACUCGUCCUCUUUGUCACUUUACAUUUGUUUGUGUCAGUUCCUUGACAAGCUGACGGUUUGCCCGAUGGUCCGUAAGCCACUGGGUGGGUGUUUGAUCAGCAUUGCGUCCAUUGGUGCCUGUCAGCGUGUCUGGCACAUAAAUACAGGUGAGAAAGCAGGAGAAGGAAGAAACAAGCCUUUUCUGUAACAGCUUUGCCUCCCCCAGACAGGCCUUAGCCUCAUGGGCGGGCGGAGAGAGGCGGGCGNNNGGCCGCCGCUUUGUCCGCUUUCUAGAGAGUUCCGGGUCACCCUUUGGGAAUAUGACAUUUGCAGACUCAGCAAAGCAAAGGGUUUUUAAAAUGUUUCUUUUCUAACCCUUAACCUACAUUUACUGUUUGGCUUUUGACGCCAAUGGGCACUCGUUUUAUUUACUUUUCACCUGCGCAUCAGGGUUCCACACACGGAAGGACUGAAAUACCUCGAAUGCACUCUUACUUGUUACGUCUUUUAACCACGUUGGACAACAUGAUUCUCCUUCUGAUUUCAGUUCCUCUUUCUUGAUAAAUCAUGUAUGUUCAGAAAUAACAUGAAGGGCGCCCGGGCGGCUCAGGGGGUUAAGCGUCCGACUCCUGACUUCGGCUCAAGUCACGGUCUCACGGUUCGUGAGUUCGAGCCCCACGUCGGGCUCUGCGCUGACAGUCGGGUGAAGCCUACACGGCUGGAGUGAUUGACGGAGAUGCGAGAGAGCCGGGCCCCGAUCCUGGGCAGCUCGGCCUCACGGGGCCUGCCAGGAGCGCUGCCCGGCCCUGUUCCACGGCCGGUGGCUGGCCCCCUUGCCCCCUCUUUACCAGCAGCUGGUGGUGGCUGCCUCCGGCCUCUUCUGUGAGAACAAAGUGACACGACAGACAGCCACGGCCGUGGAGCACGCACAGUAGGCCUUAGCUCCCGGGAGCCCGGCAGUCACGCGGGACACGCGGGAACUCUGGUUCCCUCCUUCCUCUUCCUAAAGACAUGGGGUGGCGUCUCCUUGAGGAAUGUCCCACCCAUUUGCUUGGAGACCACCCGAGGCCCAGAGCCUGGGCUUUACAUUUGUUUGGGAAGGUAGACCGGUCCCAGGAGCAGGGACAGCAGCAUAGAGGACACUUCACAAACGGAGGGUCUGCCCCGAAAACCUAAAACGCGGCGUCUGUGUCCCGAGGCCCAGAGUAAACGGGCCUCUAUUUCCCAUGGAAACAAACCCGACAUUAGCGAGGCCGCGCUCGCCCCGCUGCUGGAGGCUGACGUGGGUGCGAAAAGCCUCCACACAGAGGAUGGUGUCCAGUGGGACACCAAGGACGGAGAGAAAGGAAAUUCUUGUAAAUCGCUGCACGGGAUGAGACUGUGGUUUGGGGAGACACAGACAGAGCCGGGAGUGGCCGCCUGGCACUUGGCUUGGAACCCGGCCCUGACGCCCCUCUGAGCGGCUUUCCCGUUACUUCCGUGGGAACGCGCACACCCGCGCACCCCAGCCUGUGCUAAGACGUUGCUUUCGUUAUGAGUUCCGCUGCUCCGGUCUCCUUCUGGAUGGUUCCCCGGCCAGAAGCAACUGCACAGUUUGCAAAGGGGUGCUAACAGAUCCCCCAGCUGGGUUCAGACCCACCUUGCCGCCCAGAAAGCAAAGCACCACUUCUCUAUCUCUCUCUUGCUCGCUCCAUGAGCUCUGAAUCUAUUCCAACACCGCGUCAACAUUCGAGCAGGAAGGAGAGGGUGUGAACUUCGGUAACCUCCAUCCCUUGCUGCUGUUCCCAGACAUCUGCAUCACGUCCCCGGAGCACCAGAGCAGAGGUGAGUUGCAUACGCAGGGGCUGAGCUGCGUGCGCUCUGGGCCGUCUAUGCUCCUCCCACGUCAUAGAGCGUUUUUAUGAUCGUCCAAAACACUUUUGUGUUUAAUGCGAAGCAGAUUUCUUUGUGUAACAAAGACGGAAAGGAUGUCCCUCAACAGUAGCUCUUGACUCCAAGGACGACGGCGGGAUGGGACGGGGCGCGCCUGAGUCUGUUGUAACCGUGCGAGGUCGGUCCGCCGCGGGAGGCAUGUGCUUACCUGGGCGCCGCUCAAGGCUCUGACAAAUUCUGACUCAUUACGUACAAGGACGUUUCCACUCGUUGUUGGACGUGAGGUCAAAUUAAUCCUCAAAGAAAGUGUUCUCGAAGAAACUUCACAUCGCAUAAAGCUGUCAUCGUUUGAAACAGGGCCUGAAGGGCAGGGACCCAUCAGCCUUUGGGAUUCCCUAAUGGCAUCUGCGGUGGCCGCCAGCCUCCCCCCUACACUGUGCAGGCCGGGCCGAAUGCAGACGCUUCUCCGGGCCAGGGGCGGCAGGGGCGGGGACCGUCUGCAGGAAAGGCACAGCAGCAUAUGUGUCCCCUAGGCCACCGCUUGUCCCCUGUGCUUGUGAGAACUUUGGAUCAGGGUGUUCUAAGUUAAUACGUACCUGAUUCCUCUGAGCAUCUUGUUACAACGCAGCGUCUCACCCCCUGGGUCCGGGGCAUGGCCUGAAAUCCUGCAACAAUCCGGACAAGCUCCGGGAUCUGUGGAUCACGCUUAGCUCAUGUGAUCCUCAUAACAGAACUAGGGAUUAAAUACUAUUACCUUUUGUUUGCAAAGUGUUUUUAUUUAUUUUGUGGGGAGAGAGAGAGAGAGAGCAUGAGCAGGGGAGAGGCGGAGACGGCGGGAGACAGAAUCGGAAGCAGGCUCCAGGCUCCGAGCUGUCAGCACAGAGCCCAAAGCAGGGCUUGAACCCAUUAAUCGUGAAGUCAUGACCUGAGCCAAAGUCAGACGCUUAACCGACUGAGCCCCCCCCCAGGCGCCUCACUAUUACCCUCUUUAUAGGUGUGGCUCCCAGGGUUGCCUUCCAAACCAGGUGGUCUCCCAGAGGGAGCAACCCUCUCUGCGCACAGGGGCACGGAGGAGCCAGAACAAGCAGGAGGGAGGUGGGAUGGGCGGGUGGCAUUGUCACUCUGCUCCCUCCCAUGCAUACUGCUUACCCUUUACUUUCUCUGGAAGGAGGUCAGCAGGGCAGGGAGGGAGCCGGAUUCUCUCCCUAACCGUGUGCAAGAAGGCCCAGAGGGUCACCGUAAAUACUGCACCCCAACGGGGUCUGCCUUCCACAGAGAGAAGGCUAGCAAAGAUCCAGAGUCCCUUAGGACCCCACAGGUCCAGGAUGCUGCGGAAAGUCACUCGUCACCCCAAGAACAAGGAAAACCAGAACUUGAAUGAGAAGCGACCAUCUGCAGACAUGGGCGCUGAGGUGACGCGGAGGUUGGGCCCGUCUGACGAGGACCUUAAAGCGGCCGUUCUAAAACUGGUGGGACGGGCAACUCGGAAUUCUCUUGAAGCCACUUCAAGUGUCAGCAAAGAAAUCAAUAAUAGAAAAAUGCCUCAUGUGAAAAUUACAGAACAAUCUACAAUCACAAAAUUACCCCCAAAGCUGCUGCAUGGGCCUGGAGGAAGGAGGGAAUGAAGGUGACAGAGUCCGUGAACUUGAGUUCAGAGCCUUAAUUUACCCACGCUAACGGCAGAGAGAAGACAGACGUGUGGAGGAAAAUGACAGACACGCUCCAGGCACCUGUGGAACAAGGACAAGAUCCUCCAUGGGCGUCAUCGGAGUUCGGCAAAAGGGGAGAGAUUGAGCCUGGAAAAAACAUCGAAGAAGUGUAAUGGCUGGAAACUUUCCAAAUUUGGCAAAUAGGUGAAACCCAGAGACAUUCGCGCCAGGACUCUACCUCAUUAAACACGUGAUGUCAGGUCCCAGAGUGUGGCGCCAUCAUGGGCUGACCGUGGAGCGUCCAGGAGAGCCGUGUGACAGAGAGGAGUGCCACCGGGCACGAACCCAGCUCCUGGGGAAACCUACUGAGUCCUCGCUUUCAGGGCAGGUCCUGGGCUGCAAGAACGGAUGGGGACGUGCUUGCCCAGGGAGGUCACAGGCUAGCUGGGGAGGGGGACGCGUUGGCAAUCCACCGAAGUGACUACAGGAUGAUUGUUCUGCUCCCCGCUGCUCCCCUGGGGCCUGCCGGUGACCUUAAGUCCUCCACCCUACACGUCUGUAAAGUGGGUGUCCAAAGUCCUGUGCUCGAUGCCUAGAACACCGUUGUGCAAAACACCCGUGUAAAACAAAACAAUGUUUUAUUUAUUAAAAAUUUUUUAACCUAAUUUAUUGUCAAGUUAGCUAACAGAGUGUCUACGGUUGCUCUUUGUUUGGGGAGUAGAUUCCCAUGAUUCCUCACUUACAUAUGAUGCCCAGUGCUCAUCUGAACAAGUGCCCUCCUCAAUGCCCAGCACCCAUUUUCCCCUCCCCUGUCCCCUCCCCCCACCAUCAACCCUCAGUUUGUUCUCUGUAUUUAAGAGUCUCUUAUGCUUAAUAUUUUACAGAAUCGAAGGCAAGUUCUCCCCGGUUUUGUGAAGCGGGGCCCUUCUGACUGCUGACUGGGGCAAGGAUGUGCUUAGCUGAGUCGUCCCGUCUCUCCUGGCAUCAGGGCUCCGUGCUGUGACUGCAAGAGGUGGUCGGGGAAAAUGGUUCUCCGUCCUACGGCUUAAUACAAGGAGGCAGGCGAGGCGUCUCGCGUGUGGGAGGAGUUUCUCACCACGUCUGGGACCCUGGUUAGGGAUCUUGCGAAAUUACCCACUGAAAGUGAUUUUCUUUUCCCUAUAAGUUCUCUAGAAUAAUGGCUUGGCAAACUCAGAAUUUCAUGGGCUCUGUAAAUCAGUUCCGCCCUUGAACACUUUCUUGUACACCCGCUGGCAACUCAUGAGUCCUUUCCCAAAAAAGGUAGAGUCAGUAGAAACGUGCACUGCCGCGUUUUGAGAUUCAUGUAUGAGCCAUAUGAGGGCCACGC
rnacentral:lncRNA from 1 species